AGCGAACGCUGGCGGCGUGCUUAACACAUGCAAGUCGAACGAGAACGGAUUAUAGCUUGCUAUAAUUGUCAGCUAAGUGGCGCACGGGUGAGUAAUGUAUAGGUAAUAUGCCUCUUACUAAGGGAUAACAAUUGGAAACGAUUGCUAAUACCUUAUAUUCCUUUUUAUCAAAAGAUAAAAAGGGAAAGAUUUAUUGGUAAGAGAUUAGCCUGUAUUGUAUCAGUUAGUUGGUGGGGUAAUGGCCUACCAAGACAAUGACGCAUAACUGGUUUGAGAGGAUGAUCAGUCACACUGGAACUGAGACACGGUCCAGACUCCUACUGGAGGCAGCAGUGGGGAAUAUUGCACAAUGGACGAAAGUCUGAUGCAGCAACGCCGCGUGGAGGAUGACACAUUUCGGUGCGUAAACUCCUUUUAUAUAAGAAGAUAAUGACGGUAUUAUAUGAAUAAGCACCGGCUAACUCCGUGCCAGCCGCCGCGGUAAAAC
rnacentral:rRNA from 1 species